rnacentral:rRNA from 1 species
GAGUGAACGCUGGCGGUAGGCCUAACACAUGCAAGUCGAACGGCAGCACAGUAAGAGCUUGCUCUUACGGGUGGCGAGUGGCGGACGGGUGAGGAAUACAUCGGAAUCUACUUUUUCGUGGGGGAUAACGUAGGGAAACUUACGCUAAUACCGCAUACGACCUACGGGUGAAAGCAGGGGAUCUUCGGACCUUGCGCGAUUGAAUGGGCCGAUGUCGGAUUAGCUAGUUGGCGGGGUAAAGGCCCACCAAGGCGACGAUCCGUAGCUGGUCUGAGAGGAUGAUCAGCCACACUGGAACUGAGACACGGUCCAGACUCCUACGGGAGGCAGCAGUGGGGAAUAUUGGACAAUGGGCGCAAGCCUGAUCCAGCCAUACCGCGUGGGUGAAGAAGGCCUUCGGGUUGUAAAGCCCUUUUGUUGGGAAAGAAAAGCAGCAGGUUAAUACCCCGCUGUUCUGACGGUACCCAAAGAAUAAGCACCGGCUAACUUCGU